UACGUAGGGUGCGAGCGUUAAUCGGAAUUACUGGGCGUAAAGCGUGCGCAGGCGGUUCGUUGUGUCGGCGGUGAAAGCCCCGGGCUCAACCUGGGAAUUGCAUUUGAGACUGCGUAGCUAGGGUGCGGAAGAGGGAAGCGGAAUUUCCGGUGUAGCGGUGAAAUGCGUAGAUAUCGGAAGGAACACCAGUGGCGAAAGCGGCUUCCUGGUCCAGCACCGACGUUCAGGCACGAAAGCGUGGGGAGCAAACAGG
rnacentral:rRNA from 1 species